GACACAUUUUUCUAUGUAGGCCCCACUGUGUUAGACACAUUUUUCUAUGUAGGCCCCACUGUGUUAGACACAUUUUUCUAUGUAGGCCCCACUGUGUUAGACACAUUUUUCUAUGUAGGCCCACUGUGUUAGACACAUUUUUCUAUUUAGGCCCCACUGUGUUAGACACAUUUUUCUAUGUAGGUCCCACUGUGUUAGACACAUUUUUCUAUGUAGGCCCCACUGUGUUAGACACAUUUUUCUAUGUAGGUCCCACUGUGUUAGACACAUUUUUCUAUGUAGGUCCCACUGUGUUAGACACAUCUUUCUAUGUAGGCCCCACUGUGUUAGACACAUCUUUCUAUGUAGGUCCCACUGUGUUAGACACAUCUUUCUAUGUAGGUCCCACUGUUUUAGACACAUUUUUCUAUGUAGGCCCCACUGUGUUAGACACAUUUUUCUAUGUAGGCCCCACUGUGUUAGACACAUUUUUCUAUGUAGGUCC